UUGCAAAUUUUUUUGAAUUAUUAUUAUAUUUUUAAAAAAAUAUUUAUGUACUUUUAUAUAUAUAUUGUAGGGCCCAAUUUUAGCCCGGGGCCCAAUAAAAAAUAGUCCAAACUUAAAGACCCAAAAUAUACAAGGCAGCCCAACAGGCUUAAAACAUAACCCUAGCCCAAACUAAAACACUAAACAGAAAAUAGGGAAGCAGCACAGCCCUUGGACCAGCUUCGCAUGUUCGUCGGCAGCCCUGCAUCCCGCUCCUUCACGUUCGCACCCACGUAUCACGUCAGUGCCCAUGUCUACCACGCCACCCAUAACUUGCAAUGGUUUAAAGUGUUAUAAUUUAGGCUGUAUAAAGCCAUAGUCAACACUGUAAAAGGGGGACGGAUGUUACGAAUAUACAAACAGAUACAAAAUCAUAAAAUAUAGAGAAGUUUUUAAAAGGUAAAUUUUUUCCUACAUUUGGCUUUUGAUUUCUAUUUGUUUUAUUUUAUUUCUUACCCGUACUUAACAAAAAUAAGAAAAAAGGAAAAUAGUCCCUUACCUUAAGCUAAAGAGUUUAAUAUUAUGGGUCAGAAGAGGACGUCACCGUUGAUGAACAGUGACGAAGCCCGUUUUUCGUCUUUGUUUUUCAAAAAAAUUACAAGGCCCUAAAAUACAAAUGUUUUUGGUUCGUUUUUGAAAAACUUUCAAUUUUUUUUCCAAAAUGGACACUAGAUCCGGGUUCUAAGUUUAAAAAAGGAGAAAAAUAAGGGUUUUGAAACUCUGACCACCGCGCACGGUGGUCGUCGGUGACAGACCAGCGGUGGUCGGUGACUAGCCUUUGGGUUUGUUAGAGAGAAAAAGAGAGAAGGCCAUUCUUUUUUUUUUUGAAACAAAAGAAAGAAAUGAGAGAAAAAUAAAAUUUUUCAAGUCUUAUAAUGGGGUAAAACGGUGCGUUUAGCACCCCCCUAAGUGUUCCAUACGGCGCCGUUUUACCCAAUAUACCCCCAAUCUGUUUGACCUGAUCCGAUACCUAGGAGGACCCGCGUGUUUUGUUAAAAGGGGUUAUUUGAACAGUCAAUCCCUCCCUUUUGCGUUGCUGUUUGAUUAGGCCCAUGUGCAUUCCUUUUUUCUGUUUUAAAUUUUGGCCCAGGGGUUUUGUGUCAGUUUUGUUUUAACCCAUGAUUAAAUGUUGCGUUUUGGUAACUGGGGAUAUUUUCUUUUUGAAUCCUCAUUUGUUUGCGUGCAUUAUAUUUUAGUCAUUGAUUCUGUUUUAAUGGUUUAUUUAUUGGGGGAUUAUCUUUUUGAUUUUGUUUUUGUUUCAAUUGAAUCUUUCUCCUUUUAAAUGUCGGCUUUUGUAUAUAUUUUUUUAUUUUAAGUUAUUUGUUAUUCUUGUUUUAUAUUAUUCAUUUUUGUAAAUUAUUCCAUGUUAUUCUUCUUUUAGAAAGAACUUUGAUAUAAUAUAUAUUAUUUGAAUUAUUUUAUAUACAUUACUUAUUUAACGUGGUUUAACGUGGCUUUAUUUAUUUAUUUUGAACUCUUUUAUAUAUCUGUAUAUGUUUCUGCCCUCUUUGAUUGUUUUAUUAUUAUAAACUUUUAUACGCUAUUUAUUUUUAAACUUUUGUGUACAUUUUUUUACUAUUUAUUUUGAAACUUUUUCAUACUUUCAAUUUGUUAUUUCUUUUAAUUUGCUUUACAUAUUAUUAGCUAGAUAUUUUUAUACAUAUUAUUUAUUUGAAAUUCAUAUAUAUUUUAUCUAUUUUAAAUCUAUAUAUGUAUAUCCUUUGGUUUAUGGGAUGGAGGCAGUUUUGCCCAUUGAAGUCGAAAUUCCUUCUCUCUGAGUUUUAUGAAAGUUGAAGUUAGACGAAGCAGAAUGGUUCCAAUCCUGGUAUGAUCAACUGAACUUGAUUGAAGAAAAUAGGCUAAAAGCUAUCCGUUAUGGUCAAAUGUACCAGAAGCGAAUGAUGCGAGCUUACAAUAAAAAGGUUUGCCCUAGAGUAUUCCAUGAGGGGGACUUGGUAUUGAAAAAGAUUUUCCCUAUGCAAAAUGAUUUCAGAGGGAAAUGGAUGCCAAACUGGGAAUGACCUUAUGUGGUAAAGAAGGCUUUUUCUAGAGGAGCGUUGAUAUUAACUGAAAUGGAUGGUAAGAGCCUGCCUAACCUAGUAAAUUCGGAUUUAGUUAAAAGGUAAUUCACUUAAAAGGUGGUUAAGGUGAAAAUCCGCAAAGGGCGCCUAAAAAACAAGAAAAAUGAGAGGCUGAGGUGAAAACCCGCAAAGGGCGCAUUGAGACCAAAUGGGCUUUAAAUUAAAAACCCGAAAAAGGCAAUUCAAAUUUUGAUCGAAGAUGAGGCAUGUGGUAGUCUCGCACUGCUUGAAUUAGCGAAGAGGAAGUAUGCUACAUCUUGGGGCAUCGACAAAGUACUUUAGAUCUUCUAGGCACAUGAUAAGCUCAAAAUGGUCCUCGAAGAGUUUGUACAAAGAAGCUCAGGCUGCAAUAUCUGGGGCAUUUAUUUGUUUCCUUUACUUAUCUUUACAUUACGACAAUGUUUGCUUUCUUUGAUUAAUCCAUGCUUUUCAGAUUUUGUUCCUAAUAAAUUUCAAUUUUAUCCAUCUUUAUAAUCUUUUUUAAGCGUUUCGUAUUGAAAUAAUGAUUAACCACUUUCACAAAAGGAGUUUUGCAUAUUACUUUAGAAGUUUCUAAAUAGUGUAAGAACCUGAAACAGGACUAUUGUUUAAAACUUACUCGACUUAAGGGUUGGAGAUAUUUGAGUCCAAAUUGAGAUUAUCUCUUCGAAUUUUUAGUCAAAGAUAUCGGUUGAACAAGAAGACAAGAUAUCACGUCAAUAACGGAAACAAGCGAUGUCAACCCAAGCAUAAGAGAGGAUCAUUCUCUAGAAAAGAAAAAUGAUAUUCCUCAUUCAUGUAAAUAUCAGGUGUACACAUCUGGUCAUGACACUCGGGGAAUGGCGUAAUAGACCAAAUUGGUGAAAGAUUCAGAUCCUAUACUCCUGAGUUGCAGAGAAGGGUUUAAAGAUGGUACAAACCAUAGGUCCUAGAGGUAUAGUGAAACGGACCCUUACGUUACAAUGGGGCAAACCAGUUGAGCAAAAUGGGUUGUAUUAUGAGUUUUCUACCGUAAAAUCCUAGCCGAGCAAAAAGGCAGCAUAAUACGUCAGUGAUAAAACUCUGAUGAAUAACGAGUGAUGAAACUUUAAGCAUUUAAAAAGGAAACAUUCUCAUGACAUUUCUACAUUCAUAUCAUCCAUAGCGCAUUUGGUUAGGAACAUCUGAUUUAUUCUGAUCAUAGCAUCCUAAUCGUUUGGCUUAAACAUAGGCAUAUGAAACUAAAUCUACAGGACAUGUCCCUCAGAGGACGGUAUAGCAGAACUAGUGAAUUUGCAGAUCUUAUCUCCCUAAGCAGUAGUGGAGCAAAUCGAAGACGGCAAAUUUUAUCUUCAUGUAGCGGCAAUGGAGUAGAUUUAAGCUACCAGCCUUAUCUCCCUAAAGUUUCAGUGGAGCAGGUUUAAGAUACAAGUCUUAUCUCCCUGAAGUGGUAGUGGAGCAGACUGAAAAUUGUAGAUCUUUUCUCCCUAAGCAGUAGUGGAGCAGAUCGAAGACAGCGAAUCUUAUCUCUAUGUAGCGACAAUGGAGCAGAUUUAAGCCACCAGCCUAAUCUCCCUGAAGUUGCAGUGGAGUAGGUUCAAGAUACAAGUCUUAUCUCCCUGAGGUUACAGUGGAACAGACUAAAAAUUACAAAUCUUAUCUCCCUAAGCAGUAGUGGAGCAGAUCGAAGACGACGAAUCUUAUCUCCGUGUAGCGGCAAUUGAGCAGAUUUAAGCCACCAGCCUAAUCUCCCUGAAGUUGCAGUGGAGCAGGUUCAAGAUACAAGUCUUAUCUCCCUGAGGUUGCAGUGGAGCAAACUAAAAAUUGCAGAUCUUAUCUCCUUAAGCAGUAGUAGAGCAGAUCGAAAACGGCGAAUCUUAUCUUCAUGUAGCGGCAAUGGAGCAGAUUUAAGCCACCAGCCUAAUCUCUCUGAAGUUGCAGUGGAGCAGGUUCAAGAUACAAGUCUUAUCUCCCUGAGGUUGCAGUGGAGCAGACUGAAAAUUGUAGAUCUUAUCUCCCUAAGUAGCAGUGGAACAGAUCGAAGACGGCGAGUUUUAUCUUCCCAAUGUAGCAGGGAGUAGAUUUAAGCCACUAGCCUUAUCUCCCUGAGCAAUAGUAGAGUAGGCUGAAGAUUGCGAAUCUUGUCUCUUUAAGUAGUAGUGGAGAAAAUCGAAGAUGGCGAAUCUUAUUUUCUAGAGGUAAUAGGGAAGCAGAUUGAAGCCAUCAGCCUUAUCCCCCUAAAGUUGCAGCGGAGCAGACUGAAGAUAAUGACUCUUAUUUUCUAUAAGUUUCAGUGGAGCAGAUCGCAAUUACAAAUCUUUUUUCCCCGAAAUUACUUUUGAAUGGCUAGAAGCAACAAUUUCUAUACCCUUGAAGAUACAGUAGGUUAAAGCGAGGCUAUCUGAAGAAAAGAAGCAUCAAGAGGGCAAGCUCAGUAAGAUCGGGCAAAAUUGGCCCUUUUUAAGUCUUUGCUCCAUUCUCGUUACACGACAAUGGGCAAAGAGGGGCAGUUGUAGGGCCCAAUUUUAGCCCGGUCCAAACUUAAAGACCCAAAAUAUACAAGGCAGCCCAACAGGCUCAAAACAUAACCCUAGCCUAAACUAAAACACUAAACAGAAAAUAGGGAAGCAGCACACCCCUUGGACCAGCCCCACAUGUUCGUCGGCCGCUCCAUAUCCCGCUCCUCCACGUUCUCACCCACGUACCACGUCAGUGCCCACGUCCACUACGCCACCCAUAACCUGCAAUGGUCUAAAGUGUUAUAAUUUAGGCUAUAUAAAGCCAUAGUCAACACUGUAAAAGGGGGACGGAUAUUACGAAUAUACAAACAGAUACAAAAUCAUAAAAUAUAGAGAAGUUUUUAAAAGGUGAUUUUUUUCCUACAUUUGGCUUUUGAUUUCAAUUUGUUUUAUUUUAUUUCUUACCUGUGCUUAACAAAAAUAAGCGAAGGGAAAGGAGUCACUUACCUUAAGUUGAAGAGUUUAAUAUUGUGGGUCAGAAGAGGACGUCAUCGCCGAUAAACAGCGACGAAGCCUGUUUUCCGUCUUUGUUUUUCAAAAAAAUACAAUGCCUUAAAAUACGAAUGUUUUUGGUUCGUUUUUGAAAGACUUUCAAUUUUUUUUUCCAAAAUGGACACUAGAUCAGGGUUCUGAGUUUAAAAAAUGAGAAAAAAGAGGGUUUUAGAACUCCGACCACUGCGCACGGUAGUCGUUGGUGACAGACCAACGAUGGUCGGUGGCUGGCCUUUGGGUUUGUUAGAGAGAAAAAGAGAGAAGGCCAUCCUUUUUUUUGAAACAAAAGAAAGAAAUAAGAGAAAAAUAAAAUUUUUCAAGUCUUAUAAUGGGGUAAAACGGUGCGUUUAGCACCCCCCUAAGUGCUCCAUACGACGCCGUUUUACCCCAUAUAUCCCCAAUCCGUUUGACCCGAUCCGAUACCCAGGAGGACCCACUUGUUUUGUUAAAAGGGGUUAUUUGCGCAGUCAGUCCCUCCCCUUUGCGUUGCUAUUUGAUUAGGCCCAUGUGCAUUCCUUUUUUCUGUUUUAAAUUUUGGCCCAGGAGUUUUGUGUCAGUUUUGUUUUGACCCACAAUUAAAUGUUGCGUUUUGGUAACUGGGGAUAUUUUCUUUUUGAAUCCUCCUUUGUUUGCGCGCAUUAUAUUUUAGUCCUUGAUUCUGUUUUAAUGGUUUAUUUAUUUAGGAAUUAUCUUUUUUAUUUUGUUUUUGUUUCAAUUGAAUCCUUUCUCCUUUUAAAUGUCGGCUUUUGUAUAUAUAUAUAUUUUAUUUGAAGUUAUUUGUUAUCCUUGUUUUAUAUUAUUCAUUUUUAUAAAUUAUUCCAUGUUAUCCUCCUUUUAGAAAAAAAUUUGAUUUAAUAUAUCUUAUUUGAAUUAUUUUAUAUACAUUACUUAUCUAACGUGGUUUAAUGUGGCUUUAUUUAUUUAUUUUGAACUCUUUUAUAUAUCUGUAUAUGUUUUUGCCCUCUUUGAUUGUUUUAUUAUUAUAAACUUUUAUACGCUAUUUAUUUUUAAACUUUUGUGUACAUUUUUUUUACUAUUUAUUUUGAACCUUUUUUGUACUUUCAAUUUGUUAUUUGUUUUAAUUUGCUUUACAUAUUAUUAGCUAGAUAUUUUUGUACAUAUUAUUUAUUUGAAAUUCAUAUAUAUUUUAUCUAUUUUAAAUCUAUAUAUGUAUAUCCUUUGGUUUAAAAUGUCUUAUAUGUUAUUUUUUAUUUUAUUUUUUUAUACCAUCUAUUUUAACUUCUUACAUAAUGCUCAUCUCAAAUUUUUAUACAUUAAUUACUUUAAUACUUUCAUAUAUUAUGUAUUGUAAACUCUUUUUUCACACAUUAUAUAUUAUUUUUAAAGAGUUUUAUAUAUUAUUUUAUCUUGAAUGGAUUCUAAUUUUUUUUAAAAUUAUUUUAUAAACUUUAGAUCGCUUUUAUAACAUCCAUUUCGAAUCCUUUUUAUGUAUUAUUUGCUUAGAAUUGUUUUAUAUUUUAUUUUAGAUCUUCCUUCUUUGUAUUCAUCUGUUAUUUGUGAUUCAUUAUUAUAACAUUUUGUUUAUGAAUUAUUACUUUGCAUUGUACAUUAUUAUUUUAUCGCAUUUUAUUCGCUUAAAAGGUCACAUUUUAAUAUCGUUUAAGUUUUAAAAUCAUUUUAUUCAAAAGUUUUCAAAAUAAGGCAAUAUUCGGUAUUUGGCAUCUUGGAGAAGAUUAUGCCCUAACUUACUGGGUUCCAAUUUUCCUCGUUGAAUCUAAGUUACUGAGUACCCUUUUUCAAUCAAAAUGAAUAAGUUUCAAAUAAAAUUUUAUUCUCAGGAAUUCGAGGUGUUGUGUCCUAACUCAUUGGAUAUGACAUUUUGAAUCUCGAGAUAAGGAUUUCUAAAA
rnacentral:lncRNA from 1 species